rnacentral:rRNA from 1 species
GAUGAACGCUGGCGGCGUGCCUAAUACAUGCAAGUCGAGCGAACGGACGAGAAGCUUGCUUCUCUGAUGUUAGCGGCGGACGGGUGAGUAACACGUGGAUAACCUACCUAUAAGACUGGGAUAACUUCGGGAAACCGGAGCUAAUACCGGCUAAUAUUUUGAACCGCAUGGUUCAAAAGUGAAAGACGGUCUUGCUGUCACUUAUAGAUGGAUCCGCGCUGCAUUAGCUAGUUGGUAAGGUAACGGCCUACCAAGGCAACGAUGCAUAGCCGACCUGAGAGGGUGAUCGGCCACACUGGAACUGAGACACGGUCCAGACUCCUACAGGAGGCAGCAGUAGGGAAUCUUCCGCAAUGGGCGAAAGCCUGACGGAGCAACGCCGCGUGAGUGAUGAAGGUCUUCGGAUCGUAAAACUCUGUUAUUAGGGAAGAACAUAUGUGUAAGUAACUGUGCACAUCUUGACGGUACCUAAUCAGAAAGCCACGGCUAACUACGUG